AACGAACGCUGGCGGCGCGCCUAACACAUGCAAGUCGAACGCGAAAGGGGCGAACCCUGAGUAAAGUGGCGCACGGGCGAGUAACGCGUAGGUAAUCUACCUCUGCAAACUGGAAUAACCCAGCCGAAAGGUUGGCUAAUACUAGAUAGAGCGCAUGGGACAUCAAGUUUCGUGCGGGAAAAGGGGCGUAGCAAUACGCUUUUGUGCUGAGAUGAGCCUGCGUCUCAUUAGCUAGUUGGUAGGGUAAUGGCCUACCAAGGCAUUGAUGGGUAGCUGGUCUGAGAGGACGAUCAGCCACACUGGAACUGAAACACGGUCCAGACUCCUACGGGAGGCUG
rnacentral:rRNA from 1 species